CCUCCAGCUCGGCGUGAGUCCGCAGACCGGCGAAGGAGAUGUAGUUCAUCCACUGGUCGUCCACUGGGGGACAGAAAAGGGCGAGACGAGUUAAAGUGCAUCACAGCCUGGAUGGCGUUCCCUCCACCUGUAGUGAUGUCACCCUCGAAGCCCGGAAGCAGAGGAGUGACCACGUACACGCGGUACUUCUUACCCUCCCUGAAAAGCAAGCAAUCAGUUGCGACCAUUUGUUGGAUGCACGCAUUGCUUCAACUUGCUGCACAAUAGAAAAGGGAAGUACUUGUGUGCCCUGAUGAUCCUUUCGAUGAUGGCGUCUCCGAUCUUGUUGUAGACCGUUCUGUUGUCUGCACAGCUGAUGAAAAACUGAUUCUGUGGUUGGAAAAUUAAAAACAAAACGAUGAGACGUGCAUCAUCUCAACUUAAUUCCAUAAAUGAUUUCACUGCGCAAAGAUACAAAUCGCUCCCAGUUUCUUGUAAGUAUAAAUUAGGCAAACUCUUUAAUGGCACAUUUUCUUUUUCAGUUACAAUCACAUAAAAACUGUGUUGGAAAGUUCAAGAACAGGUUUUGUCACGUCUAAUCCUGACAAGCACAUCCAGGUGAUCUAAAAAUGAUCACCAUCUGAUGCCUUGACUUAUUUAUUUUGGUCCAAUCGAUAAAAAAAGCCGCCCAUCUUCUCAAAUAAUCUGGGUUAUCUAAAAAUCUGGAACAUCUUUUUCCCAGGUGUUCCAGCAGAAAGAACCCAAGCAUUCAUGGGUUCUUUCUGGCUUCCUCCCACAGACUCAAAACAUUGCUGUCAGGUUAAUUGAUGUCUCCUUAUUUAAGAGUGUCUUCAUGCAUUGUUUGCCCAGUGAUGGACUGGUGACCUGUAUAGAGCCUUUCUCUUAGUGGUAGGCGUCACCACAUCCCACAACACUGCGAGGAUAAGUGCGUAUAGACGAUGGAGGGAUGGAUGAUGUGAAAUGUUUUGUGUAAAAAUUAAGAUUUUUGAGCUUUGCUCGCUUUUUUUUGUUUGUUUUUUUUGUUUUUAUAAACACAGUGCUAUAAUUCUGAAAACAAAUAUACAUGGUAUCAAUGAGAUAUCAAACUGGAGGCAAGAAAUUCUGAUUGGGGAAAGGCAACGUGUAAUACUGGGUCAAGCAGCUUAAAACAUAAUGGUUUGUUUGUCAUUUCUGAAUCUUAUAUUCUGAGCCACAGGGACUGCCACCAUCAUGCAGUAGUACAAGACUUGGCAUUCUUUAUGUGUUUUUUUUGUAAUGUGGAAAUGACUUCGUUGCACUCCUCUUCUUGUACACUGACUGGCGAAAGUUAAUACCAGGUCCUACAUGAUCUAGAUGUUGGAAUUUAUAAAAAAAAAAUGUGUACAUAAAAAAAAAACAACAGAUGCAUGGAUGGAUUUUUAAGGUUACGAAUACAGUUUUAAAAAUUGUUUUAGAUUUUGACAUGUCGAUUAAACAGUCUGGAUGGUCUGCCUGCUAAAAUGCUAAAGUUUUUUUUUUUUUUUUGUGGUAGGAAGCGAGAACAAGUCAGACCAAAACCCACACAAGCAAAGAGAGAACAUGCAAGACCCACACAAAAAGGCGUUCGCAAGCGAGAUUUGAUCUGUGAUGCAACAGAAGUGACUCACAAGAAGUCCUUCUUCUUCAUUCCCUAAUUUGUGCUAAUCCUUUUAAUCAGAUAAAAAUAAACACACAUCUCCU